rnacentral:ncRNA from 20 species
CUCUUAUCGAGAGCGGUGGAGGGACUGGCCCUGUGAAACCGCGGCAACCGGAAAAGAGAGUCUUUUCGUCAAGGUGCCAAUCCCAGCCCUUUGAAGCGUAAGGGAAGGAUGAGAG